GCCUACAAAAAGAUUAAUAUGAACGAAAUCCGCCGUGACAGUAAGGACUGAAUAUACGUGGUAAAACGGUGACUUUGAAUAAUUCAUUCGUAGGCAUUCCGUACGCCCCAGCAAGCGCUGCGUGUAACCGCAACGCGUAGGGACAGUUGCCUCGGAGGGCCCAGCCGCUUCAGUUGUGCAAGAAGAAAAUUACCGUCCUGCUCGUAUGAACACUCAUCAUGAACGAUGCUAUGGAAAGCUGCGGUUUGCUUACCCUGCCCACGGAGACUAUUAUUCACAUCUUCAGGUACUUGAACCCGGACGAAUUGUUGGCAGUUGAAAGAACUUCUCCUGAGCUCGCACGUCUAGCGCGGAUUGCCUACGCCAUGCACACCGUGCGUUUCCUUCCACACUACUCAUCAAACUUCUUUCGCGAGUACAUCGACAAGCACCGGGCAGACGUAAUAUCCCAACUCGACAUCAGUGGCUGCUCGUCAGCCUCUUCAAGAACGCUCGAGGCAUGCAUCGAAUUAUGCGCCAGAUUAACCACCCUGCGCUGCAUCAACACUCGCCUGCUACCAACAACGUUAAUACGGCUGCUAAGGACCCGGCUACACUCCCUGAAAUCCCUUGAGUGGUCUCUACUGGGAAAUAAGCACGUCGGCGAAGAUGUACGUCGCUUUCUGCAGGAGCCAGUCGUAGGCGAUGCCCACACCAUUCUGCCGGACACGCUGCGUUCGAUGUACGUAGAAGAAAUUUCGUGCGGACGUAAUACUCGUCUGUUGUGCGUCAUGCUCAAGCGCGGCUCCUGUCUCCGCGAGCUGCACUUUCACGAGCGGUUGCGCCGCAAGCGAAACACCACGGCAGCGCACGAUGUGCUCUUGAGCUACCACACUGGAACCUGCGGGAAGUUCACAACGUUCACCUACACAAACGACAGCGCCGUGCUAGUCCGCGAAGCGAAUCUCAGGGCGCCGUGGAACCGACAGCAUGCAGACAGCCAAGUUUCAUCUGUUUUCGGCAUGUUCGACGCAUGUCGUACGGUGUCUUCUAGCGUAAUCGUGCGUCUGAACCCGUCGCUAGCUGGCAACUGCCUGAUCCUGGACGGUGUGAAACCAUUGCGGUUGUCGGAGCUGUUCUCGCAGAUUUCCGUCAUGGUACGCGGCGAUCCUCUUGCAACACUGAAGUCAGCGACUUGCCACAGACCUUACUGUCACAUUCAUGCACUCAUACUCGAAUCCCCUUCGUUGUCGGGGCAGGUACGUUCACGCCAUCAACACCCGGCCAAUGCGGACCCUCUUCUCGCUUUUAUUAGGGGAUUCCCCUUUCUGGCGGAGCUUAAUCUGGCCUCCUUCCAUUGCGAGUCAAACGUGGACUGCUGUUCCAUCCUCGCCGAUGCCGGUCUGGACAAUCUGAAGGCGCUCGCCCUGCCUUCCUGUGCCUUUUGUUGGAAGGGGCGGCUCGAGCCCCUUGCCAGGGCUCGCUUCAGACUCGACGAACUAGACGUGCGCGCUCCACCCGUUAAACAGUUCACGAUUUGCGCUGUCUGCGCAGUUGCAGUCACGUGCACCGCAGAAAUUCUGCAACCGCUGUGGAAGCUCUGUCCCUUGCUACGCCUCACCCUCUGUAAUCUGUCGCACGUAAGAUCACUGGUAUUCCUGAAGCGAUGCGUCGUGCGAGAACUGAGGCUGCAAAACUUGCACUCCAACGCCUACGAGGUGGAAGAAAGCAGGACCGCAAUGAAAGAGAGAACCGAGGUGGCUGUGGCAUCUUUGUAGAUAUUUCCCAAGAUAUUCAAGUAUGCCUCCUGUACUUGUUGAUUAUCAAUGCCUCCAUGACAGUUGAUAUCUCUACUGAAUCACCUACCUGUUCAUGAUCCAUGUUAUGCUGGAGGUCAGAAGUCUGAAAUUUGGGAGCACCACCGAAACUCUGGACCUGUCUUUCCUGGAUACCAGGGCCGUUCCAGCUCCCAAUUUACGGCGGCUGUGCGUCACGCUAAAAGAGAUGCCAUUUAGCAACGCGCAGGACCUGCUGGACCGCCUGUGCAUCAAAUAUCCGACCGCUGAAUAUAUUCACCUGCACAUUUGUCAUCCAGAGGGACACCAAGGUGCAAUCACGCUGACCGCUAGGUAUUCCGUUGAGCUAGACGGUGACAAGGACGGUGCCCUUCACCUUGAGCCCGUGCUUUCCUCCGAUGACAUGGUUCUGUGCGGAUGCGCCAACGUUGUGGCUGUCACAAGGCCCCGAAACUGUGGACCUCGACGGUUUUGAAUUUCCUGCCUAAUGAAAACCCUACAACAAAAUCGAAGCAAGUGGUUGGCAUCGGUGACGCCUCCAUUGGCGGUGCGUUUGAAGUUUUUACCAUGUCCUACUAUUGUAGUUUGUAUGCUGGCAACGUGGUCUGCAUUGCUUUAAUUGAAAUUUAAGGUGGCUAUCGAGUAUUGUGCGUGCAGAAUCCUGUCCAGUUAUCAGUAACAAGCGUGUGUUCGCGUAUGUUUAUCUCAUAUUAUUAAAUUUUCGUGAUGAUAGCGCUUAUGCGUGGAUUCUACACUAAACAUAAAAAUGCCAUCGUUGCGCUAACAAAGGAAUCACAAUGUCAGAAUCACAUGUUUUUCGAGGUCACAACAAUAAAUAAAUGUUGAACAGACAAGGUAUAAAACUGCUCCCAGAAUUUUGUCUACGCUACUUUAAUCAGGCAAACAGAAAACCCGGUUACCUUAAAACAAUCGGCACAUUUCAUGCUUAUAUCCGGGUGUUGGCGAAUGGUUAUCUGUACUCACAAGUUGCACACAGGGCACCGCUCGCCUUUAAUCUUGAGGAGAAACUGCUGUCCAUAUCAACUACCACAGGCACUGCAAAUGCCUUCUUUAAGUUUCGUGAAAUAUUUUAUGUAGUGGCCAAUUAUUAGAAGCUUUACCUUUGCUCGAAAAUUUUUUCAAAUGUCUAUAGAUACAUUUUCAUUGAUUUCAUAUUGAGCGUCUUUUAAGUUCUUUGUUACCCUGUCAACGUCCAAUUUUCCUGUAACCAGGGGGCAGCUGCACAUAAUUUGUGACAUUAGGAGCACAACAUCUUCAAGUAUUACAAUCGAUUUCGAAAGUGGUAUUUGGAAGAAAAGUCCGUGGAGCAUUUCAUAUCAACGCAGCGUCGUCUUUGCUGUUCUCGCUCUGUCAUGAUCUAAAUAUGCCAGGCCAUGUAAUGGCAUGCUGCCAGAAAUACGAUAGCGUUUCUGCACAACUCACACGACGGCGAGGUGGUACUGAGCUGGCGGAGAAAGGUGUGUCGCAGUAGAACGUUUAGGGGUUGCGGGUAGCAUGCUGGGCUUUUCUCGGCGUUGCUCAUCAUGCUCUCUGUCGUCAGUUGGUAAUAAAAGCGACUGGCUGACAAAUUUUGACAUGCUGAAGUGACUAGUACAAG